UACGGGGGGGGGCAAGCGUUGUUCGGAAUUACUGGGCGUAAAGGGCUCGUAGGCUGCCAACUAAGUCGGACGUGAAAUCCCUCGGCUUAACCGGGGAACUGCGUCUGAUACUGGAUGGCUUGAGUUUGGGAGAGGGAUGCGGAAUUCCAGGUGUAGCGGUGAAAUGCGUAGAUAUCUGGAGGAACACCGGUGGCGAAGGCGGCAUCCUGGACCAACACUGACGCUGAUGAGCGAAAGCCAGGGGAGCAAAACGGGG
rnacentral:rRNA from 1 species